CACAUACACCUAUCCUGUGUGUGAGUCCCUUAUUUGCACAUACCUCCUUUCACACUUCCCUUCAAGCCAACUCAUUUUUUGUUCCAUAGACUUUGUUAUUCCCUAUUUCUCUUUAAUUGAGCUGGUGGUCAUCUUCCUCUUAAGUGUGAUCAGCUGGGAACACAGUACUCUGCAGUCAGUUGGUAUAUGCCAUUCACAUCUAUUAUUCACACUCAUGUUACCCCUGAUCAGCAGUUGUCAUCCAGACAUCUCUGCCAAGGCUGGGCUGUGAGAGCACCCCCAAAAUUGCCUCAUCUUAAGAGAAAACAUGAGAGCAGGGAGGAGUAGUCAUGGCCAAUAAACCAGAAGGAAAAAAUAAGAGUGAACAAAGAAAAUUAAGUGAUGAGCUGAGCUCCCUCUGGAUCCAUCACAUUCUCACAAGCAUUUCUCUGAAUGUACUUAAACAAAUUGAGAAAGUACAAUGACAAUUAAAAUAUGCUGGAUGCCUAUUUUUACUGCUGUUUUACAGGAAGUAGAAAAUAAUGUGAUACGACUGAAUUUAUUUAUUUAAAAUGCACUGAGAAAUACUUUGAAAAUGAAAUGGGAAUUGCAGCAAGCAAAAUUAGAAAGAAUCAGAUCUUAUAAUCACAAGUAUAAUUACUACAGGGCAUUUUAUGACAGAUUUCAUUUUGUGACUUGGACAAAACAAACGGUUUAAUAAUUUUUGAACUUGAUGGAUGCCCAAGGCAAUGUGAUGAUAUGUAUCUAAGCAUUUGAUAUCUAACAUCUAUCUAAACAUUUACAAAAGUUUUCAAAGGCUUACAUACCUUUAAAACAUACCCCAUACACAUAAAUCACUUAUGCAUGUUAAAAAAAAAAAAAAAUCAUCAGGCUUAGGUGCGGAACUUAAUUCCAAGAAGCUAACCUGGAAUAAUUGUUUAGAACUCUGGUGUGGAUUUGUAUAGAGUGAGUAAUUGCCCUGUUUUAGAUUAAACAGUUUUAAAGAUGAAAUUACAAUGUCUGCACAUGGAAGAUAUGCGCAAACGUCUUAAAGAAAUGCUGUUGAACUGAAGUAAUUUAGUAGUGAGAAUCAAAAACAUUCUGGGAACUAGUAGGAAGUUGGUCUCUGUCCUUAGAUGGAUUUUGUUAGUUAAUUGGAUACUUCAAAUUAUGGUCUAUCUAAUUUCAAAAUACAGAAUGAUGAAGAAAAUACAUGAAGAAAAUGUCUUCCUCAGAGCAGCCACAACUAAUUUUGUUCACUGAGCUUA
rnacentral:lncRNA from 1 species